UUCUAUCUCACUGAUUCCCAGUGAGAUAAAUGAAGACAGAUUCUUCUCCUGGGUUCAUUUCAAUGUUUUAUCUGUCAGUGUGAACUAGAAGCAGCUCCACAGAGAUGAAAACAGCCGCAGAGACUCUGAGCGGAGCUAACGAUGCUAACAGGCUCCAGCAGCAGCUUCAGAGGAGCUGUGGCUCCUAAACUGGAGCUUCAGCUCCAACAGAGCUGAAUCAAAGCUCUACAACUCUGGUUUAGACGAUAAGAUGCUGAGCUUCCGGUCUGAAGAUCAGCCUCCAUUUUGAGCUGCAGGAUGGAAAUAACUUGCUGACUUGUUACUAGAGGACAGUUACUGGAACCGGAUCACUGGACUGACUGGUUCUGGUUUCUCUCUCCAAAAGGCCAGAAGAUGAAAGAUGGGUAUCAGUCCAUCUAUGAGGAGUGACCGGUCCAAAGAUCAUCCUCUAUACUUCAGUAAUGAACCUGAACCAUCAGACAGAAAGAGCUGUGAGUGUGAAGAAAGACCCAGAACAGGAGCUGAACGGCCGAC